rnacentral:rRNA from 1 species
AUUGAACGCUGGCGGCAGGCUUAACACAUGCAAGUCGAACGAGUGGCGGACGGGUGAGUAAUGCUUGGGAAUCUGGCUUAUGGAGGGGGAUAACGACGGGAAACUGUCGCUAAUACCGCGUAACAUAGGAUGAGCCCAAGUGGGAUUAGGUAGUUGGUGGGGUAAUGGCAUACAAAGCCGCCGAUCUCUAGCUGGGCUGAGAGGAUGACCAGCCACACCGGGACUGGGACACGGCCCGGAAUCCUACGGGAGGCAGCAGUGGGGAAUAUGGGACAAUGGGCGCAAGCCUGAUGCAGCCAUGCGGCGUGUGUGAAGAAGGCCUUCGGGUUGUAAAGCACUUUCAGCGGGGAGGCGUUACCCGCAGAAGAAGCACCGGCUAACUCCGUGCCAGCAGCCGCGGUAAUAC